rnacentral:rRNA from 1 species
GCAGCCGCGGUAAUACGUAGGUGGCAAGCGUUGUCCGGAUUUACUGGGUGUAAAGGGUGCGCAGGCGGGACUGCAAGUUGGAUGUGAAAUACCGAAGCUCAACUUCGGAGCUGCAUCCAAAACUGUGGUUCUUGAGUGGAGUAGAGGUAAGCGGAAUUCCGAGUGUAGCGGUGAAAUGCGUAGAUAUUCGGAGGAACACCAGUGGCGAAGGCGGCUUACUGGGCUCUAACUGACGCUGAGGCACGAAAGUGUGGGUAGCAAACAGGAUUAGAUACCCC